rnacentral:rRNA from 1 species
CCUACGGGUGGCAGCAGUGGGGAAUAUUGGACAAUGGGCGAAAGCCUGAUCCAGCCAUGCCGCGUGUGUGAAGAAGGCCUUCGGGUUGUAAAGCACUUUCAGUGGGGAAGAAAGCCUUGGGGCUAAUACCCUCGAGGAAGGACAUCACCCACAGAAGAAGCACCGGCGUAACUCCGUGCCAGCAGCCGCGGUAAUACGGAGGGUGCGAGCGUUAAUCGGAAUUACUGGGCGUAAAGCGCGCGUAGGCGGUCUGAUAAGCCGGUUGUGAAAGCCCCGGGCUCAACCUGGGAACGGCAUCCGGAACUGUCAGGCUAGAGUGCAGGAGAGGAAGGUAGAAUUCCCGGUGUAGCGGUGAAAUGCGUAGAGAUCGGGAGGAAUACCAGUGGCGAAGGCGGCCUUCUGGACUGACACUGACGCUGAGGUGCGAAAGCGUGGGUAGCAAACAGGAUUAGAUACCCAGUAGUC